UGAAUACGAAAUGCUGCGGCAUUGAAGUGAUCUAUGCCAGGCUUCCAAGAAAAUCUCGUCAUAUCUUAAGCAGUAGAUGCCUGUACCUUAAACCGACACAGGUAGGUAGGUAGAGUAUACCAAGGGGCGCGAGAUAACUCCCUCUAAGGAACUCGGCAAAAUAACCUCGUAACUUCGGAAGAAGAGGUACCCUUGAAAAAGGGUUGCAAUAACCAGACCCUGGCGGCUGUUUACCAAAAACACAGGUCUCCGCUAAUUCGUAAGAUCAAGUAUGGAGGCUGACGCCUGCCCAGUGCCGGAAGGUUAAAGAAGUUGGUCAAUCUUUGGAUGAAGCUGGCGACUGAAGCCCCGGUGAACGGCGGCCGUAACAAUAACGGUCCUAAGGUAGCGAAGUUCCUUGUCGGGUAAGUUCCGACCCGCACGAAAGGCGUAACGAUCAGGGUGCUGUCUCGGAGAGAGACUCGGCGAAAUAGACAUGUCUGUGAAGAUGCGGACUACCUGCACCUGGACAGAAAGACCCUAUGAAGCUUUACUGUAUCUUGGAAUUGGGUUUGGGCCUUGCUUGCGCAGGAUAGGUGGGAGGCUGUGAAGAUAUUCUUGCGGGAAUGUUGGAGCCAACGGUGAGAUACCACUCUAGUAAGGCUAAAAUUCUAACUCUGAACCGUUAUCCGGUCAGAGAACAGUUUCAGGUGGGCAGUUUGACUGGGGCGGUCGCCUCCUAAAAGGUAACGGAGGCGCGCAAAGGUUCCCUCAGGCUGGUUGGACAUCAGUCGUAGAGUGUAAAGGCAUAAGGGAGCUUGACUGCGAGACCCACAAGUCGAGCAGAGACGAAAGUCGGCCUUAGUGAUCCGACGGUUCCACGUGGAAGGGCCGUCGCUCAACGGAUAAAAGUUACUCUAGGAUAACAGGCUGAUCUCCCCCAAGAGUUCACAUCGACGGGGAGGUUUGGCACCUCGAUGUCGGCUCAUCGCAUCCUGGGGCGGUAGUACGUCCCAAGGGUUGGGCUGUUCGCCCAUGAAAGCGGUACGCGAGCUGGGUUCAGAACGUCAUGAGACAGUUCGGUCCAUAUCCGGUGCAGGCGUUAGAGCAUUGAGAGGAGUCCCCCUUAGUACGAGAGGACCGGGGGGAAUACACCGCUGGUGUACCAGUUAUCGUGCCAACGGUAAACGCUGGGUAGCCAUGUGUAGCGCGGAUAACUGCUGAAAGCAUCUAAGUAGGAAGCCCACCUUAAGAUGAGUGCUCUCACCGCUAUAAGCGGGUAAGGUCACGGUAAGAACAACCGUUAUAUAGGCAUUAAGUAUACGUGCAGUAACGCAUUUAGCUGAGAUGUACUAACAGACCGAGGGC
rnacentral:rRNA from 1 species